rnacentral:miRNA from 1 species
AACCUCAUCAAUUGGAAGGGAUUCCUUCUGGUCAAUGAGGUUGCUAGACCUCAUCAGACGGAAGGGAUUCCUUCCUGUUGAUGAGGUA